rnacentral:rRNA from 1 species
UACGUAGGGGGCAAGCGUUGUCCGGAUUUAUUGGGCUUAAAGGGUGCGUAGGCGGUCUAUUAAGUCAGUGCUGAAAUAUCCCGGCUUAACCGGGAGGGUGGCAUUGAUACUGAUGGACUUGAGUGCAGUCGAGGUAGGCGGAAUUGACGGUGUAGCGGUGAAAUGCUUAGAUAUCGUCAAGAACACCGAUAGUGAAGACAGCUUACUAGGCUGUAACUGACGCUGAGGCACGAAAGUGUGGGGAGCAAACAGG